rnacentral:RNase_P_RNA from 1 species
GUAGAACGGAUAAUCGCAGAUGCAAUUCCGAAAGGAAGCAUAUGAGGAAAGUCCGGGCUUCACAGGGCAGGAUGCCGGAUAACGUCCGGUAGAGGCGACUCUAAGGCAGUGCAACAGAAAUAUACCGCUUUAUGAAUUCAUAGAGUAAGGGUGGAAAGGCAGUUUAAGAGACUACCGCCGUUAUGGUAACAUAACGGGCACAUGUAAACCCCAUUCGAAGCAAGACCGAACAGAAAAGAUGGUUGCCCGCCAUUUUCGGGUAGGUUGCUUGAUUUAACCGGUAACGGUUAAACUAGAUAGAUGAUUAUCCAAGACAUAACCCGGCUUAUAGUUUUGCUCAA